GCUUAACGCGAAGAACCUUACCUGGGCUUGAAAGUUAGUGACCGCUCCUGAAAGGGAGCUUCCCGCAAGGGCACGAAACUAGGUGCUGCAUGGCUGUCGUCAGCUCGUGCCGUGAGGUGUCGGAUUAAGUUCCAUAACGAGCGCAACCCCUAUCUUUAGUUGCCAGCGGGUAAUGCCGGGGACUCUAAAGAAACUGCCCGUGACAAGCGGGAGGAAGGUGGGGAUGACGUCAAAUCAUCAUGCCCUUUAUGAUCUGGGCUACACACGUGCUACAAUGGAUGGUACAAAGAGAAGCAAGCCCGCGAGGUGGAGCGAAUCUCAAAAAGCCAUUCUCAGUUCGGAUUGGAGUCUGCAACUCGACUCCAUGAAGUCGGAAUCGCUAGUAAUUGCGAAUCAGCACGUCGCAGUGAAUGCGUUCCCGGGUCUUGUACACACCG
rnacentral:rRNA from 1 species